rnacentral:tRNA from 1 species
AGGGAUUUAGCUCAGCGGCAUAAGCGCCUGCCUUGCAAGCAGGCAGUUGUGAGUUCAAUCCCUG